GAUGAACGCUAGCGGGAGGCCUAACACAUGCAAGCCGAGCGGUAUUUGUUCUUCGGAACAGAGAGAGCGGCGCACGGGUGCGGAACACGUGUGCAACCUGCCUUUAUCUGGGGGAUAGCCUUUCGAAAGGAAGAUUAAUACCCCAUAAUAUAUUGAGUGGCAUCAUUUGAUAUUGAAAACUCCGGUGGAUAGAGAUGGGCACGCGCAAGAUUAGAUAGUUGGUGAGGUAACGGCUCACCAAGUCAAUGAUCUUGAGGGGGCCUGAGAGGGUGAUCCCCCACACUGGUACUGAGACACGGACCAGACUCCUACGGGAGGCAGCAGUGAGGAAUAGUGGACAAGGGGUUAGCGCCUGAUCCAGCCAUCCCGCGUGAAGGACGACGGCCCUAUGGGUUGUAAACUUCUUUUGUAUAGGGAUAAACCUACUCUCGUGAGAGUAGCUGAAGGUACUAUACGAAUAAGCACCGGCUAACUCCGUG
rnacentral:rRNA from 1 species